AAUUGUUUGCCAAACGACGAAGAAGAAGAACCGCGUCGUUAAGGUAACACAGAACAGGUGUGCAUAAUCAAGGCGUGCAAUGACUACAGUGCAACGUAAGCUGGAGUGCAAUUUUAGAACAGUUCUGAGGAGCCGCCUAAAUAAGCCAUCUUGCCGUUUUUGAAGCCUCCGGAAAGCCACCAGUCGAAGUCGCGAGCACCUUUUUGAAGAGGCCGAGGACGGCAAGUCAGCAGGAGGAAGAUGAAGAGGAGGAGGCAUCACGUCGAAGAUGCCACCGCUCAUUUGUCGCAAGCCUGUGGAGUGCAGAGCUGUAAGUAUGAGCAGCAUAUUGAUGAGGAGAUGCAGACUGAUGCAACACAUGCUACAACACCGACGAAAGUACGCACCAAAAACUGGACAAAAGUCGUGGUUCACCGAGUGAGAUUUUGAAGUCGUGGUUCUUCGUACUGGCUCACUUUAAAGCACUGCUUGUGCCACCUCUUGGACAGCUGUUGAUGGAUGCUCCAGGAAGAGCCCACAUCCUUGCGGGUAGUCCUCCAACUGAACAUCAUGGGUUGCUGUCACACCCAAUAGCAUCUUUCUGCAGCUUUUUUACAUUUCUUUCCACAACCUCACUGGCAAGGAGCCUCCCCAAACGUAAUGUGAGCUGUUAUCUUUGUCUGCACCAAUUGUCUCAGCGGUGCCUUGACAAAAGAAGCCGGCAUGUUGAACACUGGCACACAUCAAAGAAAAGCUGUGGAAAACUCGGACUGGCUAGCAGGGCUCAGUGGGGCACACGGUGGAGCGUUGAGGGCUUUGUGCAGAAGAAGCUGUUGGAGAAGGUGUUAAUGGAGAGCUGAGCAUACAGAGUCUCAGUGGUACAGAAAGCAGAGGAGACCUGCCUGUUUGCCUCAGAUGUGGUAAAUGUUGGGUCCCCAUUGACUCCAUUAGAGAUUCAUCUGGCUUUUACGAAAGGGAGCACUAGAAGAGUAUGAUAUGAGUUUAAGAAAAAGG